GCCCAACCAUUUUGCAGAUGAUGAGACACGAUUUCAUGGCCAUUUUUCACCUUUUUCCACUCAUCAUUUCAACUUGUGUCCAACAUGAAAGAUGUUAAGCUCCAUGCCCUCUUCCUACUGUUUGCAUUGCCUUGCCAUUUGGUCAUGUAUACAUCAAGAUACAAGGUCACAAAGUCACCUUUUUGGAUUGUUUUUAUGCUGCACAAGACAACCAAGUCAGACCACAAAAACGACCAGUCCAUUCUGUAGCACCUCAAAUUUG
rnacentral:lncRNA from 1 species